GACGACCAUGAGAGUGGCAGAGGAAAAUAGGGCCUUUUUAGGGAUUCUCUCGUCUGGAGGGCAACUUCAGAAAAGGGCUUCUUGAUGCCUUAGUGAGAGAAGUGGAUGGCCCUUUCGAUUUUUAGAUUUAGUAGAGAGAGAAAACAAGGUUAACAAAUCAUGAGAACAAUUUUCCUCUCUUUAUAUAAAUAAUUAUUAAUUAUCCAUCUUUAUUUUGAUUAAAUCACUACCGAAAUUUCGAUUUUUAUUUUGAAGGACCCUAAAUACAUCCAACCAAACAAUAAUAAAUAAAUAAAGAUGGACAUCACGGGUCCAGGGAGGGCUCAGAUCCGCCCGUAAUCAGACAAGAUCCAUGUUCGCCAUGGCUGCAACUACAGUUGCAUGUGAAAAAAGGGCAUAGAAACCCAUUUCACAGACAAUCCGGGUCGCCCAGCCAAGGACAGGUCCUUUCAAAAUGUCUGAUUUACUUGGAAAGUGUCAUCACAGCCACUUAAUUUUCCUGCACAUUUUCUCAGCAACCGAACAGAUACAAGAUCCUUCUCAGAAAACACAUUUUAAAACACAAACAAAAAAACCAAAACAAAACAAAGACCAACCUCAGCGCGGAAGUGAAUAGCGCGUAAAAUGAAGGCUCAGAUUCGCCUUUUAUCAGACAAGAAAAAGAUGACCGUCAUGGCUGCAACCACAGUUGCUUGUGAAACAAGGCACAAAAGGUCCCAUCGCACAAACCAUCCGGGUUGCCCUGCCAAGAAACGGACAUUCCCAGUGCCUGACUUACUCUGAAAACGUCAUCACAGCCUUUUAUGUUGCCCAUAUGAACAGAGAGAGAGAGAGAGAGCUGUUGAUUUUCCAGAGAAUCAAGACAGCCUCUGAUAUAUAUGUACACACAUGUGUAUGAAAAGAAAGAAAAGAAAAGAAAGAGCGAAGGAAAAGGGCUGUUGAUGGGCGUCGUAGAAGUAAUCAUCGGCUCCGAAGACCAUGAGAUUCAGAGAGGGGCAACCACCCUUAGAAACUCCCCAUCCCUCCGACACGGUCCCUGGAGCCUCAGUCUUAAACUAAUGAGGUCUAGCCCUAACUUUUACUCAUCCUUUCCCUUUUAUACUACUCCCUGUCUUCUUCUUCUUUGCUUUUAUUUUACUUUUUUGACCUUUCUACCCUCACUAAACCCGGUAUCAAGGAUUGAAAUGUCGAAUUUCGGGAAAUUUCCCGAUAUUUCCUACCAGUCCAGCCCGCGCACAGGAUACAAAAUCUGUCCAUUUUUUAAAAAAAAAACACAAGAUGUUAUUUGGUAAUCUGAUCAUGAUUUGCAGGCAAAGGUUGUGUUUUUCAGCCUGGCUCAAAAAUCGUGGAUUUAGGGUUCGUGAAAUUUAAAUCCAAUGGCACAAAAGCAAAGAGACCCCUAGAACAGAUCCAGAAAACACAGGGAGCAAAAAAAAAAGCAAUUUUUUUGGUUUUCCUUGGGGGUUUUGCGUGGAUUUUCUCGGAAAUCAAACGAGGAUGAAUUUUCCCGGAAAUCGAAUGGGGGAUGGAUUUUCUUGGGAAUCAAACGGGGGUUGCAAAAAAAAAAAUAACAUGAUUAGAUUAGUACCUGCGAGGAUUGAGAGUGGCAGAGGAAAAUAGGGCCUUUUUAGGGAUUCCCUCGUCUGGAGGGCAACUUCAGAACAGGGCUUCUUGAUGCCCCAGUGAGAGGAGUGGAUGGCCCUUUCCAUUUUUAUAUUUAGUAGGGAGAGAAAACAAGGAAACAAAUCAUGAGAACAAUUUUCCUCUCCUAUAUAAAUAAUUAUUAAUUAUCCAUCUUUAUUUCGAUUAAACCACUACCAAAAUUUCGAUUUUUAUCAGUAAUAUUUUAUAAAUUAAAAUUAAUUUAAUAAGAUAAAUUAUUAAUAAUUUUAAUUAUUUAAAUAAAUUAAUGUUAAUAAAAAAUUUAUUACCACAUAUAUAUAAAAUAAAAUCUUAGAAAUUAAAUAUCAAAUAAAGUAUUUAUAUAAAUUAAUUUAAUUUUUCAUAUAAAAUGUAAUAAAAAUUUAUAAAUAAAUAUUGUCUUCAAUAAGAUGAUUCAUUAGAUGAAACCAUAUCAAUCUUCAUUUUGAUACUAAAGACUAUUACAAUAUCAUAUGUAUUAUAUUUAUGUAUAAAUUGUUUUUACUCAAUAAAAUCAAAUAUUUUUUAAUUCAAUUUUAAUUUUAUACAUUUUCAAAAUUCAUAUUUAUUAUUCUUAAAAUUCAAAUAAAUCUACUGAUGUUUUUCUUCUUGAUCAUAUCUAUAUCAAUUAUAUUUAUAAAAUAACUCUAAAAUAUGUAUUUUUACUUAUUUUAUCAUUUUUUUUAUAAUUUUCUAAAUAUUCCUAUAAAUUUUAAAUAAUUUUCGUUCCACCAAUAUUUUCAUUCUAAUCUUGUAUCUAUCGAAAAUAAAUGAAAGACAAUUUUUUACAACAAAAUUUUUUAUGAUUUUUAAAUCAAAAGUUAGUUUUAAAAUCUCAAAUAUUUUUAAUCCACUAUUAUGUUUUUAAAAUUAUAUAAUUAUUUUUUAAAAUAAUAAAAACAAAUAAAAAUAAUUAAGAUUAUGUUUAGUUUGUUAAAAAAAAAUAUUUUAUCAAAUUUGAUUUAAUAGUGAAAAUAAAAAUAAAAUAAUAAUUAAAAUUACUUAAAAACCAAUGUAACUUAAAUUUUUUUUUUUUUUGAUCUUUAGCUUAAAAAAAAAAAAUAAAUAAAAUGAAUUUGAAAAGAUAAUUAAUCUCUCUAAAAGGAAGAGACUCAAAAUUAUCGGAGGAAGAAAAAAAGGGAGUAAGAUUUGAAGGAUAAAAAUAAAGAAGGAACAAGUGGGUGGGUAUUGCAUUAUAUCCAUGAGUUGAUCAAUAACUAGCUCCAUUUCCUUUCCUUUAUUUUCUUGCCAGCCAAACAAAAUCUCAAGCCUGGAACCAUCAUCCCAGCAACCAUUUAUUAAAAGCCAUACACCAAGGAUUCGUAUAACACCAUGGAAUCAACCAUCAUCACCCUCUCAAACCUACAUGCCAAAGCUACACAGACUACUCCCAAGUUCCCAAAUAACCAAGCUUCAUAUCUACUAGCUCCAAAACGGUUAAACAAGAUGAAAGAAGGAAAGGAAGAGAUUACUUGAUGAGAGCCUGGUAAAGGCAGAUCUGCAAAAAUUACAAGCCUUGUCCACAUAGCUUUAUUUAUAGCCCCAUGAAAGCAGAAUUACUUCUUCAUUACCAAAUGUCAGUAUAGGCAAUGCCAGACCUCCAUCUUCCCAUGGCUGCCAAGCCCUUUUAUCAAUAUGUGAAGAUGCAAACCAAAAUGGUUAGCCCAUCAUCCAAAGCUAGCUCCUCCUCCUCCUCCUCCUUAUUUACACCUAACAGUUUCCCUGAUUCACAACAAGUUCAAUUUCCUUGCUUAACAUCUUUCAGAUAGAACAGAACAAUUACGAUUACAAUCACAAAAUGUAACACCACCCCACAUCUUCCUCUGUUUAGCUAAGCAUUACAAGACCUCAAAGUUGAUGUUCCAUCAUCAUAAUAGGCAUGGUGUAUUUCCAGUCUCAAACAAGUUAGGUUCCAUCCUAACACCAUAAUGGUGGGUUGUUUUACAUCAGACAACGAAUCUGAGUCAGUUAACAGGCAAAAAGAAACAUUCAAUAGUUCAAGAAGAUGGCUUAGAAUUUUCUGAAAACCUCAAAACUGUUUUCAUUUAUAAUUACAAACCAACCCAAAAGUUGAACAAUAUGAGGCACUGGGCUGAACAAUCACCUCAGAACUCUGGUAAAAAGAAUGAAGGUUUCUAUAGAUAAAAUGGCCUUUGCAAAUAAAGCAAUGAGAAAAACGGGAUAUAAAUUAAGGAAUAAUAGAAUGAAAAUGUUGAAAGGAAUUUCACAUGGCUUCGAAGAAUGAAUAGAUUCCGUACCCUUGCCGAGAAAUUACAUGGCUGCCUUGCCCCUCUGUUGAAGUACUAUAUCAUGCACAACUUCCCCUGCUGAGUUAACAAAGUAGGUUUCCUGCCAUGGAAAAAGAACAUUUGUUGGUGCUUCAACAAGAACAAAUUUAGUCAAAAAAGACAAAUACUCACAAUCUCUAAGGAGCUGACUCUAUGAAGAAGGAACCCAUUAACCAUUCCCCUGAGGAAACAAAGAAAAAAAUCACACAAACUUCAUAGUUUCAUAUGUAUGAACCAAUGUAGAACACCAUGAAGAACUAUGAACAGAAAUACUCACUUACUAAAACCUGAUAUUCCAUUUACAGAAGCAAGAGGAAGUUUUUCAUCUAUUGAACCUGGGUUCCUGAUGUAAGCUAUACUAUCUUUACGAGCAUAGUCACUACAUCCCUCCCCACUCAGGUACACAUCCUGGUGAGCAAAUGCAUGGAUAAAGCGUUACUUUCUUCAUAGGCACCAGAAAGAUUCCAAAUUUAACAUAUCAGAAAGUUGUUCAUUCAAUUCAUUAGGAACUGUCUUAGAUUUUCAUAUAUAUUGAAAAUUUGGACUUUGAUCAUCUCAAAAGCAAGUUCUCUAAAGAACCCAAAAUCAAAACCUUGGGCAUGGGAUGUCUUCACCCAUUGAUACUCAAUGGGAAGAGCCAUAAAUACUUACCACUCCAAACUUAUAAAAAAUAUGGUGUAGAUGCUCAUAAAGUUGUAUUUCUAUUCAUUCCCUGUUUCCUUCACAAACAGCCAAUGAGCAGAAACCAACAACUAUGCGCCUGGAUCAUAAGGAGGAAAAAAGGAGACAAUUAGUACUUGGGAUGGAUAGUUUCUUUAUUAAGUUAAACAUGGAGUUGAAAUGGUAGGGGUGCUUGGCAAUGGCAACAGGACAGCAAACAAUGAAGGUCCAACAUAGUAACCAGAGAAAACAAAAGGAAAACGAAUGUUUUAACUCCACAACAAUUUGGGUUAAGGCAAAAUUUAAAUGAAAACCAAAAUUUUAUUGUUGAAAGAAAGAAAAUUUGUGAAAUAAAAUUAAGUUGAGAAGUAGAUUAUCACGCAUCAGAACCACUCUGAACUGACAUGAUUUUCAAUUUUUUCAAAAUUUUCCAGACAUUACAACCUUGCUUAUUCCUAGGUUCAUGCAAUUAUAAACAGCCAAUAUGGUGCAAUGUCUAGUGUCUUUGUCAGCCCAUGUAAUUGAUCAUUUCCAGCACCAUUUAACGGAUUCAUAAGCAUAAAAUCCUUCAAGUUUCAAAGAGGAGCCCGAUUAAGAGGAAAGAAGAAUGAAAUGCAGCAUAAAGGAGCAGAAACCAAAAAAAAAAGAAACAAAUGGGGGAUAAAAUGUGUGAUAAAUACAUAUAUGGGAUAUUGAUAGUGUAACUAAAUGAAAUAGAUAUCAAAUCAAUCAUAUACACAUAUAAAUACAACAUAGAAAUAAGCAUGGCCAUGGUGAAAAAGGGCUGCAAUGUGGGUUGUAACCAGAGAAUGGAAUAUGGACAAGGAGCAUAAAAAAUGAUUUGGCAGGCCAAGAAAUGGCUAUUUUAAUAUGAUGAAAAAGAAAGAGAACAAAAGAAAUUCAUUAUGAACAUGACUUGAAGAGUACACCUACGCUCAAAUAAUGACCAAGUGAUCAACUUUAAAAUCACAUUCCUAACCUCAGCCCUACCCCUCAUGGAAAAAUGGAAAAAAAAAAAAUUCUUAAAAGGCCUUGAGAGGGGUAAACCUGCUGGGACUCAAACCUGGAACCACCCCACAUCCCCACCCCCAACCCAAGCUACUCGAGCCACACCUCAAGGGUGAUAAAGAUCUAACCUUCAGCAUUGAAUAAAAAAUAAUCUAAAUGUGCAAAAAAUAUCCAGCAUUUUCUCAUGCAUUUUAAUUGCUUACUAGACUAGAUAGAAUCUCCAGUCAUUGAUGAGAACAAAGAACUCAGUGUCUUUAUUAUUAUUAUUGAAUAAAAAAUAAUCUAAAUGUGCAAAAAUAUCCAUUAUUUUCUCAUGCAUUUUAAUUGCUUGCUAGACUAGAUAGAAUCUCCGGUCAUUGGUAAAAUUCAAUAAUUCCAAUUUCCACCAGUUGAUUUGUCAAGUCCCUAAUUAAAUAAUGAAAGAUACAAUACUUGAUGAGUUAUAUACUAAAAUACUUGUGCUUCCCAAUCUAAUUCUAACAAGAACCCUACAAAAUGCACACCUUAAUCCAACUCAACCAACACUCAAUCUUGCGAUUACCUCAUAGUCCACAAGGUACAUCGGAGAGACCUAACUUAUCUUGAUGUUACAAGAUUUCACAUGAACAUCUGAAUACUGGUUUCCAUAAUUCUUUGUUAUCAUACAUCUCCUGGGGCAUGGUAAAGAUGAAUAUAAAAACAAAAUGAAAUCAAUACAAGAAGUUGAUAGCCCCUCUAUGAUCAUAACUGGGGUCAGCACAAUCAGUAACAUAAGAUUCAUGGUGUAGUAUUGAAGUGUAUCAUAAACUCAACACAAGCAUAUGCAAUGUCAAUUAUCAUUAAGUCAACAAUGAUAUUAAACAUUGGUAUAAACAAAUGAAACAAUGACAACACAACAGGAAAAAACCUUAUACAACUAUUAAUCUAUCCUCUUUGGUAGUCUUUUAUCAUCUUCCACAAAUUUCCCAUUUUCCUCCAUAUGCUGCUCAGAAUCCGACCCCAUUUUUUUUGUAUCUUUGUCAACAUUAAAGGAAAUAAAUGCAUGCAACUUUUAAAGAUUUGAGGCCAUGUGAAAAACUUGUCAUUUGAUGUCAAGUUUUUUUUUAUAUGAAAAGGUUUUCCAAAAUGAGAAUUGCAGAACUAUCAAUCUAUCUUCAUCUAGGUUUGGAGCUUCUCAAGUCUUUUAUCAAUUAUCAUCCUCCAUAAAAUUCCAGUUUUCUUCUGUACAUUGCUCAACCUCCAACAUAAUUUUUAAUUUUUUUUCUAAUUAAGAUUAAAUACAUGCAUAUUUUGAAGAUUAAGCCAUGUGGAGAAUUGUCAAUCAAUCGUAAGUUUUUCCUAUAUCAAAUGCAUUUUUUAAAAUUUUCGGCCUUGUUGGAAAAAAGACCUAAUGAGAUGGGUUUGUAUCACAAAACACUAAGGAUUGACUCAAAAGUCCCAAUGAAAUUAUAGCUACUGUAAAAACCAUGUAACCGCUUCCAAACUUAAACCCAUAUUACAAGAGGAUAGUAGAAGAGGCCUCUCUUCCGACUGACAUAAUAACCAUGAGAAGUAUUAGCCAACAAAUCUUAAAUUGAGCAAAUUCAACAAACCAGUUGAUACCUUAAAUGCCCCAGUAUCCAAACCAAUAAUGUCUAAGGUUUUCCCAAAAGGUAUUUUGAUCUGCUUUAGGAAGUAACCUGUUCCCCGUCCUCUUGAAACUCUGGUACUGUACCUACAAGAAUUACAAUUCAGGAUUACCACACAAAGAGACUAAACCAAAAAGACUGUUACAUUAAAAACUACAUCGGAGUCCAAGUUUUGUAACAAUGAAAUUUCAAAAGAUGAGCUACAAAAAUGACACAACUGAUUGCAAAGCGGAUGGCAUACCAGGGAACUUUCAGUGUUGAAAAACGCCAAGUACCCUGUAAAAGAAGAUGUCAUCUUCUAAGAUUGUUCCUAACAGAUGAAACCAAUGAAAUCUAAUUAAACUCAGCACUAAUUUAUUUUCCAAUCACACACCUAUAAAACAAAACAAAAUAAAACUACAGAAAUAAAUAUGAACCACUAUUCCAUUACUUCAACCAAAGCAUGGUUUCUAUUAUUUCAGUUAAAUUCACAAAAAGUUAGGAGAGAAUCAUUUCUACAACUUACCCAGAGUGAAGCAACGCAUAACUUUGAUUAAAUCUGGCUAAACUACAACUAAAGUUUCCAUAUAAAUGGAGUGUAAGCCUAAAGGUGCCACAAGAGAGUUCAUAUAAAAAAUAGUAAAAGGGCUUCCCACAUUGAAUUUACUAGCCAUGGUCUUACAUUGUGUGAGUUGAUCGUCUUCCCCAAGUUCACUAAUGUUUAUCACAAACCUUGCCUUAUAAGUCUUUGCGGCCUUCUCCAUCUUCAUGGGAAAAAACAAUUCCAAUUAGAACAGGGAAGAUAAAAUAUAAACUCAAAAUGCAAUUAAUGUAGUAGACGAUAAUCAUUCAACUAAGAUCAGUAACAGAGGGGGGAAAUAACAAAGCCUAAAAACAGAGAAGGUGGAAGGCAGAAGUAAGUUGGAUGAAUUAGAACCAAGAAGACAAGACAAGAUCAAAACCAACAGAUGAGAAGGCUGACACAAACAAUUGAGAGAGAUCAAAAACUGAACCAUAUAAUAAAAAACUCACUCACAUGAUUAUUCUCUGGCCAAAAGAUAAAGGUUAUGUUAUUAUUUUUUUAUGUUUAGUUUCAAAGUAGAAAAUAAGCGAUAAAAUCAAAUAUAAUUAAAAUUAUUUAAAUUAUAUAUAUUUUUCAAUUAUUUAGUCUAUACAUAGAACAGAAAAAAUAAAUAAAAUGAAUUUGAAAUAAUAUAAAAAAUAAUUUAUUAAAUUUAAUUUAUUUUUAAAUUUUCUUUAUCGCUUUUUCUUUCUUCCUAUUUUUCUUUUCCAUUUUUUUCCCACAUUUUCUCUUAAAUUUUCCACUAAGCAAACAAAGCCAAAGAUCCUCAAGUUGCAUAUACAAUUAAAAACGGAAAAAGAAAGAUCUUCUACUGUUCAACAACUGUCAUAUUAAAAAAAAUAAUAAAAAUAAAAAUUCGAUCCCAGUAAAACCUAACACAAAAUUCUUUCCUCAAAGUUAAAUCAUUCACAUAGAAAUUAACUGAGAAAGAAAUAAUAAACUGUUUGGUUGCUGAGAAAAUGGAGGCAUAGAAAAGGAAAUCAAAAUUUUGAAACUCUAUUAUUUCCAUUAUUCGAAGGCCCGGAAGAAAGAGGGAAAAAACUUCCACUCUUACCUUAAUUUAGGUUGUUUUGUCAAUUUCGAGGGAGGAAAAAACAGGAAAUUAAUUUCAAGCGAUUUCACUUUCAGCAUUCUCAGUAACCAAACGGAGCGUCUGAUAAAACUAUCAUAUCCACCAACAGAGCCAAAACCAAAUAUACCCACCAUCAACAUCUUAAAACAAAAUCCAUAAAGAACGAGAAAAACCCAUGCUUUUCUUCAAUGAACAAAAGGAAUCAAUAGAGAGGAUGAGAAAUAGACCUGUUUGAGAAGAUGGGUCUGCUGAUUAAGAGGUCUAAAUCCUCCUCUAACACUGAUAAAGUAAAGGUCAAGAGGCCUGCUACUGCCACUGCUGCUCUGGGACAUGGGCUUCUCCCAAGGCCGACCCAAGUUGAAUGCACAAGCAGAGAGACAACUGUGUUAUAACAGUGCGAACCCAUGAAGGUUUCCCCAUUGUUAACACAGGUCUCACAGCCUCAGCUCUUCAACUGGUAAUUGAUUUCACUCAUAGAUCUGAAGAUAUAUGAGGAAUGUAACCGUCGACACCCGUAUCUCUAAUUUCCUCAGUGUUAUCAAUUGCUUGAUUAAGAUAUUCGCUAAUGAAGCUCCACUUGGCAGUUGGCAGGCAGGACCCAUUAUUGAAGGGAAAUGCCUCUACAGUUCGUUUAUAUUAUGGACUCUUUGACUAAAAUCGCUUUGUCAUAUUUGAAACUUUCCUCACAAACAAACGCACCAUCAGCCAUUAAACAUCAUAUUUCAGCAUUCUUUUUUUGCCCUUUUGAUAAUUGUGACACUGUCACACUCCUAUCUCCUAAUUUUCAAAAAUUAUUUUAAAUUUAUAAAUUGAGUUACCACUUCAAAAUAUAAAUUUUUAAAAUAAAAUUAAGUACAUUUAUACUAAAUAUGUGUAUUUGCGUUUAUUACCUUGUAAUAAUAUUUUAUUUAUUUUAUUCUUUAUUAUUAUUGUAAUUUAGAUGAGUUGGUUCGAUCUAAUCUAAUAUUUGAACGAAUUUGGAUAUUUAUUUUUAAUAUUCAGAUUAGACUUUGGUUCAUUUUUUAAAUCUCAUCUUAAUUUGGAUUUGGCUUGAGAGAUACCUCUAAUGAAAAUUAUUAUGGUUCUCUUUAUACAUUCUAUUCUAUUUUUCUUUUAAUAUCUUUGUUUAUUCUCUCGUCUUUUCUUCUUCUUAUUCUUUUAUUUCACAACAUGUUAUCAACACAGUUCUGAAUAUAUAGAAAAAGAGAAGAAUUCAUCUAGAAAAUUUCUUAUAGGUAUGUAGUCUUAUUCUCUUCGAAUGAAAUAUGAAUAGUAUGCAUUGUAUUAUUAUAAUUUUUAUUUACUUUAUCUCAUAGCCAGAAAUUAUGUGAAUCAUAUUUCAUAUAAUUACAUAUUUUAAUUAUUUAAUAACUAGAAGUUAUAUAGAAAAUUUUUCAUAACUAAAAGUUAUGAAAAAAAUAUGUCCAAUCUUUAUAACAAGAUGUUAUGGAGUAAAUUACAAAAAUACAAAUACGUAGUCGGAAACUAUGCAUAAGAUCCCUAAUUACUUUUUUAUUAUAUUAUAUAACUGAAAGUUAUAUAAAAUAACAUUAUAUGGCCAGAAGCUAUAUAAUGAAGAGUUCAUAAUAUGAAGCUAUGUACAAAUCCAAAAUUACAAAUAUACGACCAGAAGCUAUGUAUAUAACUCAUAAUUAUUUGUUUUUAAUUAUAUAGUAUAACUGAAAGUUAUACAAAAUAAUAUUAUAUAGCCAGAAGCUAUAAAAUGAAUAGUUUAUAGCUUGAAAUUAUGCACAAAUCUGCAUAAUGAAUAGCUCAUAGCUUGAAGUUAUGCACAAAUUUAUAUAAAAAAUAGUUCAUUGCCUAAAACUAUGUACAAAUUUAAAUAUUUUCUUGUUAUGACAAAAUAAUCAUAACUUGAAGUUAUGAAAGAUAUUAACUUUUAAUUUCUUUAUUUUCUUUUAAUUAUAUUGUGUAACCGGAAGUUAUACAUAAAUAGUUUAUAGUCUGAAGUUAUGCACAAAUUUACAUAAAAAAAAAAGUUCAUACCCUGAAUCUAUGUAUAAAUUUGCAUAUUUUUUUGUUUUGAUAAAAUAAUUAUAACUCAAAGUUAUGAAAAAAUAUUGGCUUUUAAUUUUUAUUUCAUAUUCACUUAUUUUUCACAAUAGAAAUCAUGGAAAACAAUUUUUAUUAACAAUGGUUUCAUAACCAGAAACUAUGCAAACAAUUUCUAAUUCUCUUGUAUAACCAGAAGUUAUACAAAACAAAAUUGUCAAUGAACAACUAUGUACCUAGAAGAUAUAUAAUUUUUUUUAAAUUUUGUUAUAUAAUCAGAAGUUAUAUCAUAAUAUAAUUGUCAAUUGUUUAAUGUUAUUAUAACAUUAUUUAAAUUUUAAUUAUUCAUAGCCUGAAGCUAUGAAGAUAAAGUUAGUAAAUUAUUAAUUAUUAGAGCUUGUAUAAGAAGUUAUAUGAAUAUAUAUAUAUAUAUAUAUAUAUAUAUAUAUAUAUAUAUAUAUAUAUAUAUAUAUUAUAACCAGAAGUUAUAUAAAUAUUAUUAUUCAUAAACCAAAGUUAUGAAAAUAAGAAAAUUAAUAUUCUUUGUGCUAAUCAAAUGUUAUGUCAAAGUUGCUAAUAUGUACUUUUUUUUAUAGUUAGAAGCUAUAGAGAACAAAAUUGUUAACUAACAAUUUUGUACAACUUUAUGAAAUUUAUAUGACCAAAAGUUAUAAUGAAAUAUAUUAUAGCUUGAAGCUAUGAUAACAAGCAUAUAGAUAAUAUUUACAUAUUAUCAAAAGAUUAAUAUUUUGUAUAUCAAGUUAUACAAAUAGACAAGUGUUUGAUAGUUUUUAUAAAUUUCUAUUAUUAGAAGUAUAUUGUCAUUAGUAGAAAAAUUUAUAUAUAGAUGUGGAAUUUUGAAUUGCAUGAAAGUAUGAUAUUUUUGUAUCAGAGGCGAUGGUUUGGAAUACUUUUUUUAUUCAAGUUAUUUAAUAUACAAUAAUAUUUUGAUUUAGAAAUUUGAGAUUUUUUGGGUACAUGUGAAAUAUAUGACUUGGUCAUAUGAUUAAUAAAUUGAUUUCGCAUGUCUUAUUUGUUUAUAACAUGUUUUUAUGAUUGAAAUUUUUUGAGUUGUAUAAAAUAAUAUAUAUUAUUGUAUGUUGUCACAUAUGAUAUUUUUAUUAAUGCAUUAAUUUCAUUAUUCAAGAAUAUCUUUUCAAAAACAAUAGAUUCAACUAUUAUUUUUAAUAUAUUAUGUUAUAUCUUUACAUACAUAUUUAUAUAGAUUUGUAAUGUUUCAAUUGAAGUUUUGAAAUAACAAGAUGCUUUAAAUCAUGAUAUGUUCUUUUGAAAUUUUGAUUUAUGAAUUAAUUUCUGCACAUUGAUUUAGAACGUAAUAAUAUUUUGAAUAAAAAUUAUUGAUUUAUCACUACAAUUAGUUUGAUUAUUGAAAGACUUCCUAGUUAUUUCAUAUAUAAAUUGCUCCACACUUAUAAAAUCAAAUGUGUGAGAUAUUUAAGAAACAUAUAACUUUAAAUUAUCUUUUUCAUAUUUGUUUUGUUGUGUUAUAUAUGCUUUCAUUGUUUUUACACAACUUAUUAAGGUAAGUCAUCAUCGAUGACUAGUAUUUUUCCAUUUGAUUUUAACUCAUUCUCUAUGAUAAUAUUUCUUCAACUUUGAGGUCUUUAUGACAUGUUUUAUGACUUGUUAUUUUGAUGAAACUCUUAUCUCAUUAAUUGCACAACAUUGAUAACAAACAAUGUUAAUACUAUAUCAGGUGAUAUAAACCUAAUUAAAGGCUCUAGAAUAACUUAUAAUAUGUCACUAGUAGUAUUUGAUUCCAUGUGAAUGACACUUUAUACGAUGAUAGAUCAAGAAGAAUCUUGUAAGACCAACUUGGUCCCCCAUGGUAAAAGGUCGUAUGGAUGUACAUUAUAAAACCAGAAGUUUUUAUUUAGUAACUAGUCUACCUAUACACUUGAAAGAUAGAAUGACACGUUGUGCAGAUUAUCAUUUUAAUUAGACAAUUUUCUUGCCGUUAGGGAUAGAAGAGUCAAUUCCAGAAGAACAGCGUGAAAUUAUUUGGAAUGCAUCGACUUUGACUUAUCUUGAUCCUCGUACUAAUCAAUGUGAAGUGGAAGUUCAAAAGAUUAUUUAUUUGCAAGAACUUGUAAAUCAUUAACUACAUGUUAUCAUUGAUGCAAAGAAAGUGACAAUCAUUUUCGCUUACCUAGAACAUUCCAGUACGAAUUAAUGUCCCUGAAUGACAAUUAAAUAAUGCGUUGAUGUCCCUAAAUGACAAUUAAAUAAUGAGUUGAUGUCCCUGAAAGACAAUUAAAUAAUGAGUCUAAUGCACACUUGAAGCGUGGUAAACCCUGAAAAGGCAAACAAAUUCCUUUAAAAGAAAAACACAAGGAAAGAUAUAUGAAAUGUGACACUCUUGAAGAAGUUGCAUAUAAAAUGAGUUAUUAAAAUGAUUGAUCAAUCUCAAGCAGCCCCUGAAGAGGCACAGUUUAAACAAGUAGCCCUAUGAUAGGUGUAUGUUUAAUAAUUAGUUCCUGAAAAUGUACAAGUACCUGAUAUUGAUGAGAUCUCAAUUAUUUACUUAUAUAUGGAAAAAAAAUGGGAUUGAAAUACUCUUGUCAUUAACAAUAUAUUUUCUUUCCAAAUAGCUGUUGACAUUAUAAGAAAUGAUGAGGAUCCCAAAGUAGAAACUAUGAAUGAAUGUCAACAUAGAAAAUAUUGGCCAAAAUGGAAAGAAUUCAUCCCGAAUAAAUUAUACUCAUUAGAAAAAUGAGAAGUAUUUGGACAUGUAGUCUAAACGCCUGAAGUUGUCAAACUUAUUGGAUAUAAAUGAGUAUUUAUAAGAAAGUGUAAUGAGAAAAAUGAAAUCACAAUAUAUAAAAUGUGACUCAUAGCUCAAGGUUUUCCGCAGAAACCUACUAUUAACUACGAGGAAACAUAUUCUCCUAUGAUGGACGCAACCAUAUUUAGAUAUCUAAUUUGUUUAACAAUCUUAGAAUGACUAGAUUUGCGUUUCAUGGAUGUCAUUAUUGCAUAUUUACGUGAAUCUUUAGAUAAUGACACACACACACACACAUAUAUAUGAAAAUCCCUGAAGGAUUUCAAAUGCCUGAAGCAACAAAUUCAAAACAUUGUAGCAUAUACUCAAUUAAGUUACAAAGAUCCUUGUAUCAAUUAAGCAAUCCAAAAACAUGUGAUACAAUCACUUCAAUGAAUAUUUGAAGCGAGAAAUAUGUAUGUAUUACCUUAUUUAUUUAUACAUAUUCAUUAUAUUGAAUUUUUUCAAUUAUUAUUGUAUAUGUGGAACAUUGAUUUUUUUUGGAACUCCUGAAGAGCUUACAAAAAUAGUUGACUAUUUAAAAAGUAAUUUUUGAAAUGAAAGAUCCUGGAAAACAAUUUUUUUUUCCUCGGCCUGCAGAUCGAGUAUUUUUCAAACGAAAUAUUAGUUUAUUAGUCAACAUAUACAAAGAAAUUCUUGAAGCACUUUUAUAUGGAUAAAUCACAUCCAUUAAGUUCUUUGAUGAUAGUUCAUUCACUUGAAGUGAAAAAUGACUCCUUCUGUCCUAAAGAAGAUAAUAAAGAACUACUUGGUCCAAAAAUACCAUAUUACAGUGUUAUUGGUGCACCGAUGAAUCUUGUAAAUUAUACAUGACCAAAUAUUGCAUUCUUUGUUAAUUUACUUAUGAGAUAUAGUUCUACACCAAUUCAAAGACAUUGGAAUAAAAACAAUCAUGUACUACAAUAACAUGGGUCUAUGUUAUUCCAAAUGAUCAGAAUCUUAAGUGCUUGAAUAUGUAGAUGUUGACUAUCUUUCACACCCCCACAAAGCUCGAUUUUAAAUGAGGUAUGUAUUUAUCUAUGGUGGUACGACAAUAUCGUGGAGAUUAAUCAUGCAAAUAAUGGAAACAUGUGGACUACCCUCCAUCAAAGGUAAUGCUACCAAGUUAAUAAUGUUGCAUGCAUUGCACAUAUUAAAGAAUGAUACAUUAAGGGUGAUAGAAUUAAGUAUAUAUCGUCCAAGUCUUUUACUUUCAUUAACUCAAAAAGAGUGAUGAAAUUGCUAUUCGACGACAAUUUAGUAGAUCUAUUCACAAAGGCAUUGCCAAUUGUAAUACUCAAGAAGCUCAUUGGAAUACAGCGACUCAAAGAUCUCCAUGUUGUGCUACUAGAGAAAAUAUAAUCAUGUCAACAUGAGGGGGAGCUAAUUGAUAAGAAUAUCACUACGCUACACUCUUUUUUCCUUCAUCCAAGUUUUGUCCCAUUGGAUUUUACUGGCAAGGUUUUUAAUGAGACAGUUGUGGUAAUCCAAAAAAAUAUUGUACUCUUUUUCUUUCACUAGGGUUUUUCCCAUAGGGUUUUUCCUAGUAAGGUUUUAAUGAGACAUUCUUAUGAUCAUCCAAGGAGGAGUAUUAUAAAAUAUGAGAUUUUGUAUCACUAUGGUAACUUGUGGAUGAUCAUUCAUAUUAAUGUACAUCUCUUUGUAACUCCCUAUAAAAAGGAGAUACCUCUAAUGAGAAUUAAUCCGGUUCUCUUCCUAUAUUUUGUUAUACUUUUCUUUGAAUAUCUUUGUUUAUUCUCUCGUUUUUUUUUUCUCAUUCUUUUAUUUCACAACAUAUAUAUAUUGUUAGGAAUUUGAGGCUAAUCCAACUUAUGGUAAUCACCCUAGAGGGGGGGGGGGGGUGAAUAGGGUGAUGGUCUCUUUUCGCAAAUUUAAACAAGUGAAUGUAAGAGACAAUUAUAUACAAAUAUCAAUAUAUAUAUAUAUAUAUAUAUAUAUAUAUAUAUUGUUAGGAAUUUGAGGCUAAUCUAACUUAUGGUAAUCACCCUAGAGGGGGGGGGGGGGUGAAUAGGGUGAUGAUCUCUUUUUGCAAAUUUAAACAAGUGAAUGCAAGAAACAAUUAUAUGCAAGUAUCAAUAUAUAGACAAUUGCAUAUAAAUUAAAGAGUAGGGAAGAGAGAAUGCAAAUACAAGAGUUUAUAGUGGUUCGGCGCAACCCGACCUACAUCCACUCUCCUCUAAUUUCAAUCCUGAGCUUGAGGUUCCAUUAAUCCAAGACUUCCAAACCAAGCCUUCAAGCAAUACAAUUGGAUUAUGGUUCCAAUUCACCCUCUUGGACUUUUGGCUCCAAGCACCCUUUACACUUCUCAAGAGAUAUCCCACUCUUGAACAACCCUUCAAGUGAUACCCCACACUUGAGAAACUUCCUCUCAAAGAUUUACAAAUGAAUGAUCUCUCAAAAAUCCUAGCACAAAAACUUUAAGCUCAAAUGAUACAAGAAAAACUAUGAUUGAAUGGUGCACUAAAGACAUGCAAGUUUUGAAAUAAUGGUGCACUAAAAAAUACUCUUCCAAGGCUCAAAUAUAAUCAAGAAAGAUUUGGGAAGAUUAAGCUCUCGAAACAAUGAAUAUUGGAGCCUUUUUAUAGAAGAAAAAAACCAAACUAGCCGUUGGGGGUUCGUCCGGUUGAGCUAGGGGUUGAUUGGUUGACUAGCCGUUAGCAUUUAAUGAUUGGUAGGUGACUGUUGGGCCUCAAUCGGACCUCGACCGGACCUCAACCGGUUGAUGUUCAACCUUGACCAGGAAGAGAAGGCCACUAGGAGAGAGAGAAACUUUUUAGCCUCCUUCAACCGGUCCUCGACUGAACGAGCACAACCGGUGAAUCGGUUGAACCGGUUGAAUCAUUUUUUGGCUCAAUACCCAACCUUUUUCAACUUAAAACCUUUUAACACAAGUUUGAAAAUCAUUUAACACAAGGUUUUAGUUAAAAAUAUGAAAUCAUCCAAUUCUUAAAAUUUUUAAAACAAUAUUACUUUUGGAUGAUUUUGAUGCAAAAAUAAAGAAUGAAAUGCAUGAAAGUCCUAGUGCACCAACAACCUUACAAAGAGAUCUUAUGAAGCUUUGGUCUUAAAAAAAUUUUCUCUUUGAGGUGAUCUUCUUCUUCAUGAUUUCUCCUUGGCUUGAUUUGUCUUUAUGAUUGCCACUUUGGAAAUCAUUUUGCCUAAUCACACUUGAAAUAUGACCAUUAGUUUUAAACCUUGUUUUGUUAUCAUCAAAAUCAAGAUUAACCAAACUUUGGUUUCACACACACACACACACACACACACACAUAUAUAUAUAUAUAUAUAUCAAACUAUAAUUAUAUAAUUUUUUUAAAUGUAUAAAUCCAUUUUAUUUUUUUAUUAUCUUAAAAUUUUUAUUUUUAAAUAUAGAAAUGUAUUUUUGUUAAAAAAUUAUAUUUCAUAUUUUUGUUCCAUUAUUACUUUUAUUCCUUCUUUUUUGUUUGAUUUUUGCAUGUUAUGUUGUCCAUUUUUCAUUUUUAUUUCUUUCAUUUUUUUUAUUUGGAAAAAAAUAAAUAAAAUAUAAUUAAUAGUGACAAAUGAAAAUAAAAAAAGAAAUGUUGAAAAAUAAAAAUAAAAUUGGUCAUUUUCGUGCAUUUUAUUUUAUUUGUGUGUUUUGAUUAUUCUCCUUUUUAAACAAUUGCAUAAAAGAAAAAAAAAUGAAAAUGAUUGUAGGUGAUUUUCUUGAGGAAAGUAUUCGAAAGUUGAUGUAUAAUGUCAAAGAAGAGUCUUCGUUGUAGGUGGGACGAGAGAGAAAGCUACUUUGAAUUUUGAAACUUUACCAUCUAAAAUCAAAACAAAAUCAAGUGCAAUUUAUGCAAUUUUGUAGGAAAUUAUUAUUAUUAUUAUAAUGGUAUAACAAGUUUAAUAUAAAAAAUAAAAAAAUUGUAGUAUAAAAAUAUUAUAAUAAAAUAAAUAAAUUUAUUUUUAAAAAUAUGAAAAUUAAUAUAAAAAUAUUAGGGAAAAAUUAUGUGUACACAUAAAAAAAUAAAAAAUAAAAAUUGAUGGAUUAAAUUACUAUUGAAAUUAUAAUCCGACUUAAAGUCAAAUUAGAAGAAUUUUAUGAAAUGUCAUAUCAAAACUAAAAUACUAAAAAAUGUGCAGAAUCAAAAGAAAAUUAUAAUUUUGUUCGUGAAAUUAUGACUAUAAACAAUAACUCAAUUCAUUUUCAACUCCAGUAAAAAAUUUGAUAAGUUGUGUAUAUGCAUGUCUUGUUUAAAUCUCAAUAUCUAUAAGAUCUAGUGAAUAAUAGUGUGGACUCCGCAUUUUGCACGAUGUGUUCUCACUCAAUAGCGUGACUUGCUUUUCGUUUAUUUGUGAAAAAUUAUGAUUUUUAGAAAAUACUUGGAGUCGCCACUUAUUUUUGUUUUAUUUUUUUAAGGGAAAACAAAGUAAGAAAAAAACUCUAAGUGUGACUCUUUAUUUAGAAAAAACGGUUUGUGAAAAACCAAACCUGGGUUUGGGGGGUUAGGUUACUUAUUGAGAAGGUAGGGUAAAGACCGUAGCACCCCUCUAAACCCCUAAAAAUGGGUCUCUACUAAAUAAGGUGAGUCAAACCUGACAAUUAACUAGGAGAUCAAUGGAUACUAAAAUGAUCAUAGGUCAAAAGCAAGUCAUGAUAAUGAAUAAAUAAAAAAAGUGAGAGUGAGAACGUACCUUGACAGUAGGUAAUAAAGCGUUAUCAUGGAAACAAGGUUAGCUUAAGUAUAAAUUUAUUACACGCAUAUCAAAGAUCAAGACAAAAAUCAAGCAAUAUUCGUUAAGCAUAACAUUUGACAAUCAGAAGAGAAAACUCAUAUGUGGGACCCCCACCAAAGCCCAAUUUAUCUUGCACGAAUUAGUCUCACAAAUUUCAUUAUUUUGGAAUUAUGAAAAAUUCAUUUUUGCUUAUUUAAAAUAAAGAUAAACAAAAAAUUAUUUGAUAAUUGAAGAAAAUUUGUACAUGUGCAUACCAAAAUGAGAAUGGUAGCAGACUCAUUAAAAUCAGGAUUUUUGGCAACCUAAAACCCUAAUAAAUGAUGAAAAGUUGUAGAAAUUAAAAAAUAUUUGAAAAUUGGAGUGGAAUUAAAAUUGUUCAAGAGAAAACUAGAGUUUUGAAAAUUGAAGUCUAAAAAAUUAUUUGAGAAUUGGAGUUUUGAAAAUUAAAUUUAAGAAUUUAAAUUUUUAGAAAUUAAAUUUGAAAGAAAUUUGAAAUUUGAAAAUUAUUUGAGAAUUGGAGUUUUCAAAAAUUAAAUUUAAGAAUUGGAAUUUUGGAAAUUAAAUUUUGAAAGAAAUUGGAAUUUUGAAAAUUAUUUGAGAAUUGGAGUUUUGAAAAUUAAAUUUAGGAAUUGGAGUUUUGGAAAUUAAAUUUGAAAGAAAUUGGAGUUUUAAAAAUUAAUUGAGAAUUGAAGUUUUGAAAAUUAGUUUUAAGAAUUGGAAUUUUGGAAAUUAAAUUUGAAAGAAAUUGGAAUUUUGAAAAUUAUUUGAAAAUUGAAGUUUUGAAAAUUAAAUUUAAGAAUUUGAAUUAAAUUUGAAAGAAAUUGGAAUUUUGAAAAUUAUUUGAGAAUUGAAGUUUUGAAAAUUAAAUUUAGGAAUUGGAGUUUUCGAAAUUAAAUUUGAAAGAAACUGGAGUUUUGAAAAUUAAUCGAGAAUUGGAGUUUUGAAAAUUAGUUUUAAGAAUUGGAAUUUUGAAAAAUUAUUUGAAAACAAAAGUUUUGAAAAUCAGAAUUUCGAAAAAUUAUUUGAGAAUGGAAUUUUUAAAAGAUCAAUUUUUUAACAUAAAAAGAUGGAUUAGGAGGGUGACACGUCAAACAUUGGAUAGCAGCCCUCUAGAGUGGAAUCCCAAGGUUCUCCUCAAAAAAUACCUCAAUGCCUAAAUGGCUAAGCAUCUGUCUAAAAAAAAAAAGUAGCAAUAGUAGGUUUUCCAUUUGUUCCAGUCACUACUAAUAUCUUAAUACUUCUUGGAAGAAUUUCUGCAGCAAAAUCCAACUCAGACAGUAUUCUCUUCCCUGAUUGCAACAAGAAGGAAAGUCCAUGACUUUCCAAGGGAACUCUUAGUGAAACAACUACCAUUUCGGCAUCCUUGAGAAGCUUUGUGUCAAAAUGUCCAAGAACGAUUUUCAAAUGACCAUGCUUUUCAAACAGGAGAUCGAGCUCUAGCGAGAGCAAGCUUUGUUGCAGCUCUACCAGAUUUUCCCAACAAGAAAACAGGAAGCUCUCAACCAAACCCAAAUUCACGAAAGAGAAUCAAACCAUAUGGGAAACAUCCGGAUCGGCGCGGUAGCUACAGUCUUGUAACAAAUCUCACUUGGGGUCUAGAGAUUCAUGCUACCUCAAGCUUUUUCUUAUCAGCCUCAUCAUCCCAUGGUUUCACAUCCUAGUGUACAAUCGCAUACCCAAGAAUGCACAAACACAAGGAGUAGGGAGAAAACAACAAAAACAUAGCACAAAUGAAGAAAAUAAUAUGAACCAUCAAAAGCCACACUUCAUGUCUUAGUCAGUGGACUUAAAGAUAGGUGGAUUAAAAGGAUUUCUAAAUGUCACAAAAGAGAUAAAAAUUAGUUGGACCAAUUUUUGAACACAAAUUGGAGGAACAAAGGAGCCAUUAACUAUGAAAAAAAAAAUAAAGAUUGGUCGUAUUGGAGAAAGACAACAUUUGGUAUUGCAGAAGAGAGACAACAUUGUGUCACAUGAUGCAUGCACAAAUGACCCUUCCCAUGGGCUUAUAUUGGAGGUGGGAAGCUUCUGAAAACUCCUUAAGCCAUCUAUACUAAGCUAUUGGUGGGAAGAGUGUGGAAGCUUCUUAAAAAGCCUAGGGAUGUCCACAUAUCUCUACAUUAUGGUGGAAGGCAUGAGAAAAGUCUAAGACUUUCUAGAGAGCUCUAGAGGUCUCUUGUAUAUUCUUGUAUGUAAGCUUGUACAUAGAAUUAUAUAGGGUGUUCUAGAAUAUCCAUGAGUUGUAAGGAACCCUCUAAGGUUCUAGAGAGUUCCAUUGGUGUUUAUAAAUAAGUGAGGGUCUCAUUUGGCCAAGGCACCAAGCAAGUGAGUUUCCAAGCAUUAUAUAGCUUUCUUUGAAAGCAGUAAAACUUCUAUUAUUUAAGUGUUGCCUACUACGCCCUCUAAAGUUUUUAAGUUGGGUGCGUCUUAGCGUAGCAAGCUAAGUAUUAGGAGUAAUGUUAACUUAUCAAGAUCAAGGGUCUUGACUUGUCUAAGUGUCGCACAAGCUUAGGAAAAGACUAAGUUUAUGACAGUUGGCAAUAGGUUGUGGAUAAGUGGUGGUGGUGAUGUGGAGAAAGUGAAGGAAACAUAGAAAAAUAAAGACGGGAAAGGAAAAGAGAGAGAAAAAAAGACUACUAGGUAGGGGAAGCUAUGAGCGGUGGCCAACGACGACACUAAUGGAUAAUGUCGUCAAUAGUGGCGGUAGAUUCGAUGGAAGCGGUAGAUUCGGUGGGAAGUGAGAGGUGACGGGGAAUUGAACUUUGGUUCUCCUCCCAUUGCAAUCACCAUCAUUCUCAUUUUCCGCUUAGGAUCAAUGUGCCCCCUCUAAACAACAUUGACAACCCCGUCAUCUUUUUCAUUUCUAGUGUUGUUUUCUAUAAUUGGAACUAGGUUUUCAAAAACAUCAACUAUCUUUGGAGGAGUAGUACUAGUAUUGUGAAUGAUUGAAACUGUGAUUUCAAAAUUAGGUUGGGUUCCAACAUAGAGGUAAUAGAGGUUGUUAAGCCUUUAGGAAGACAUGCACAAGUGAACAAUGUUCUUAGAGAUUAUAAUGGUGGAAGAAGGCCAUAAGAAGACAAGAAAAGAAAAGGGAAAAGAGAAAAGGACUCUCUUUCACGCCACCUACCCAUUUUCAGUGUUGACACCUUUCUCCCAUUGGCAUCAUCCUCUCCAAUCGUCACCUACCAAUCAUCACCACAUCUCUUACUUUCAUGACAAUUUUUUUUAAGAUAAUUUUGGAACAAAUUCAAAAACAUUGUUAGAGUGCAUGCAUUAUUAAAUUUUUUUCUCCACUUUAUACUUAAAAUGAAAAGAUAAAAGCAAAAUUCCAUAAACCUUAUAGCUCGUUUAACCAUAUAACUUAAAAACAAUUUUUUUAACACUUUCAAUUGUGGUUGUUCAUUAUUCUCAAAAAAAAAUAAAAAAUAAAAUAAAACUAGAUUGAAAAAAAAAUCAGGAAACAACCUCAUUGAUUUAAAUUAUUAUUUAAUUACUCCCAUAAUCGUAUGAUUAUUCUUAUGUUUUUGUUAUGUUAUAUUAACAAGUGAAUACUAUGUUGUUAAUUCUGGAUAUCCUUGUACUAUAGGUUUUCUUCCUCCAUAUUGAGGUAAAAGGUAUUAUUUGUAAGAUUAUCCUAGCAGAAGUUGUUAAUCGAAGACUAAUAAAGAAUUGUUCAAUUAUAGGCAUUCUCGUUUAUAAAUAUAAUUGAGUAUUGUUUUGUGUGUUAAAAGCACAUUUUUCAGUUUUAAAAAUGAUGUCAUCUUACAAACCAAGUAGACAACUAUAAAUAGUUGUAGCUUGUUGUACUCUUUAUAAUUUCAUUCAUAAAUAGACUUAAAAUGAUGUUAUGUUUAGACAAUGGGAAGAAGAACUUGAAUUUGAAGAUAAGGACGAUACUACAAUUGAAGUAAGUUAUGCAAUGACUUUAUCAGAUGAAACAACAACGACUAUGAUAGCUUAUCGAGAUCGUAUUUCAUAGUAGAAAUGGAAUGCUUAUGUUAAUAGUUUGUAAACAUUAGUCAUUAAAUAGUUAUAUUAAUAUACGAAGUAAGGAUGUGAAAUAUGAAAAUUGUUUAACUAUUAUAAUUGACUUGAAGUAUUUUGUGUGUACUUGGUUUGCAAUUGUUUUUGUUUCAAUUUAUUUUAUUUUAUUUGUUUUUCCUAUUAAAAAAAUCAAUCCAACUAUUUAUUUUACUCUCAUUAAAAAAUGACUAUUAAAAUUAUUUUUAAUCUUAUAGUAAUUUUUGUUUUAUUUGAAUAAAAAAAAUUGUUUAAUAAUUAAAACAAUUAUUUAUCUAUAAUUUAUAUAUAAUUUGAAUUUUAUUUAUUUAUUUUUAGUGAGAUUUAACUUGAAUGUGAUUUAUAUUAAUGUAAAUUAAAUUUUAAAAAUAAAAAUAGAAAAAUUGUUUUUAAAACCAAAGUCGAUUCUUUUAUACAAACAAGUUUUUGUUUUUUAUCUUUAAAAAUUAUUUUUGAAAACAAUUGGCCAAACAAUUUUUCUUUUUAAAAAAUACUAAAAAUGCCAUUUUUUAUUCUUUAUCUUAAAAAUAAUUUUUUAAAUUAAAAAACACAAUCAAACACCUUAUUUUGUUUUUAUUUUUGGUGUCUGGUUGCAUAAUUUUCCCAUUUUUUAAAACUGAAUUUCAAGCAAGCUCUUAAUUAUGUAAUUAAAAACUUGUUUGGUAGUAAUUUUAAGAAGCGAUUAUAAUAUUCCUAACACUUAAAAAAAAAAUUAUUUUUCAAGUAUACAACGUAGAAAUACUUGUGAGGAUCACUGCUACACAUGCUCUAUGUAGACAUAUCCCACUUCUAAGUUCUAACUCUUCAACGUCUGAACUCUUUUGAUGAAAUCCACACUCAAACCACCCAAAUCCAAGUCCCAAAUGCAGCCACUGCUUCAUCCAGGUCUGCUUCAUUCUCAUUUCAUCACUUCCUUUUUCUAUUAAUUAUUUUAUGAUUGUCCUUUUUGUUUCUUUUGUAUGAAUCCUAAGUGUCUUAUUGUUUUCCAUGGGCAGAAAAUACUUCCAUGAGAAAUUCUUCCCCAGAAAAUUUCCCCAACCUUGUCUGGUAAUAUACCCAUGUUUUUUUCCUAAUCUUUUGCGUCAAGCUUGGAAACUUCUGCUUCUGUCUUGUGCCCCUUAUGAUGGGUUUUGGAGUCAAAAUAAGAGACGUAAUGAUGAAUUCCAGAUAAUCCAUAUCUUAAAGUGAGAAAAUAUUCAAAAAAGAAUUUGUUGUGUUGAGAGGGAUUGCUUGAGAAGUUCAGGAUUAGGGAAUUAUUUUAUCUCAGUAUGGUUUAGAAUUCCAGUUUGGCAAAUUCAGGAUUCAGGACUGGCUUUGGGCUCAAAAUGAUUUGGGGUUUCUACUCAGAAACAUCCAAAAUUGAACUAUUUGACAAAUUUGGGGUGUGGGAGCUGUUCCUUUGUGGGAUAUUUGUGAAUGAUUAUGGAAUUGCUGAACUGUAUUACAUAAAUUCAAAUUUUAUUUGCUUGAUGGGGAAUUGGCCUGGGAAAAGAUAGCUGAUCACAUUAUCCCACCUUUGAUAUCAGCUGUUGCUUUGAUUCUCAAACUUUUAAAUGGAGAAAUGACUGUUGUAGAGAAGAAUAAAGGGAUAAGGUUUUGUUUGGUGGACUUGUUUUCCAUGUUUCUUCUCCUCUAAAGGUUAGGGGUGAAAGCAACUUAUAGUUGAUGGUUGUCUUCAGAAAUAAGCUGAUCAUAUCAUAGCUGACCGAUUUCUUCUUUGGCCAUCUUGAAGCAAUUUUAGUAUUUAUUUUAUAAGCUGAUUUUGGUGUCCAAGAAAUUAUUCUUAACAUAAUUAUUUUUUUUUUAAAAUAUCAAUUAUAUUUGAUUGGUAUUAUCAAUUAUGCUUUGCGGACCAAGCAUGACUCAUCUUAUUUGGGCCUCCCACUACUUUAAUCCUACACAGAUGACACAUUUUUAUUAAGAUCCAGAUCCUAUUAUCAUGGACUGGGCAAUGGAGGCUCAGAUCCGGCCGUAAUCAGACAAGCUGCUGGGCCGCCAUGGCUGCAACUACGGUUGCCUGUAAAAUGAAACCCAUUUCACAGAUCAUCCGGGUUGCCCCACCAAGAAACGAGCCCUUCAUAAUCUCUGAUUUACUUGAAAAGUAUCAUCAUAUCCCCUCGAUUUUCUCAUUGGGAACCAAACAGAUCGAGGACCCUUUGAAGGACCCUAAAUACAUCCAACCAAACAAUCAUAAAUAAAUAAAUAAAGAUGGACAUCACGGGUCCAGGGAGGGCUCAGAUCCGCCUGUAAUCAGACAAGAUCCAUGUUCGCCAUGGCUGCAACUACAGUUGCAUGUGAAAAAAAGGGCAUAGAAACCCAUUUCACACAGUCCGGGUCGCCCUUGGAAAGUGUCAUCACAGCCACUUAAUUUUCCUGCACAUUUUCUCAGCAACCAAAUAGAUACAGAUCCUUCUCAGAAAACACAUUUUAAAACACAAACAAAUAAACCAAAACAAAACAAAGACCAGACUCAGCGCGGAAGUGCAUAGCGCGUAAAAGGAAGGCUCAGAUUCGCCUUUUAUCAGACAAGAAAAAGAUGACCGUCCUGGCUGCAACCACAGUUGCUUGUGAAACAAGGCACAAAAGGUCGCCCAAACCAUCCGGGUUGCCCCGCCAAGAAACGGACAUUCCCAGUGCCUGACUUACUCUGAAAACGUCAUCACAGCCUUUUAUGUUGCCCAUAUGAACAGAGAGAGAGCGCUGUUGAUUUUCCAGAGAAUCAAGACAGCCUCUGAUGUACAUGUACACACGUGUAUGAGAAGCCCUUUUCUGAAGUUCCCAAUAUUUCCUACCAGUCCAGCCCGCGCACAGGAUACAAAUUUUUUUUAAAACAUAUGAUGUUAUUUGGUAAUCUGAUCAUGAUUUGCAGGCAAAGGUCGUGUUUUCCAGCCUGGCUCAAAAAUCGUGGAUUUAGGGUUCGUGAAAUUUAAAUCCAAUAGCACAAAAGCAAAGAGACCCCUAGAACAGAUCCAGAAAACACAGGGAGCAAAGAAAAAAACAAUUUUUUUGGUUUUCGUGGGGGGUUUUGCAUGGAUUUUCUCGGAAAUCAAACGAGGAUGAAUUUUCCCGGAAAUCGAAAGGGGGAUGGAUUUUCUUGAGAAUCAAACGGGGGUUGCAAAAAAAUAAUAAUAAUAACAUGAUUAGAUUAGUACCUGCGAGGAUUGAGAGUGGCAGAGGAAAAUAGGGCCUUUUUAGGGAUUCUCUCGUCCGGAGGGCAACUUCAGAAAAGGACUUCUUGAUGCCCGAGUGAGAGAAGUGGAUGGCCCUUUCGAUUUUUAUAUUUAGUAGAGAGAGAAAACAAGGGAAACAAAUCAUGAGAACAAUUUCGCCAUGGCUGCAACUACAGUUGCACGUGAAAAAAGGGCAUAGAAACCCAUUUCACAGACAAUCCGGGUCGCCCAGCCAAGACAUGGGUCCUUUCAAAUAUCUGAUUUACUUGGAAAGUGUCAUCACAGCCACUUAAAUUUCCUGCACAUUUUCUCAGCAACCAAACAGAUACAAUAUCCUUCUCAGAAAACACAUUUUAAAACACAAACAAAAAAACCAAAACAAAACAAAGACCAGACUCAGCACGGAAGUGAAUAGCGCGUAAAAGGAAGGCUCAGAUUCGCCUUUUAUCAGACAAGAAAAGGAUGACCGUCAUGGCUGCAACCACAGUUGCUUGUGAAACAAGGCACAAAAGGUCCCAUCGCACAAACCAUCCGGGUUGCCCCGCCAAGAAACGGACAUUCCCAGUGCCUGACUUACUCUGAAAACGUCAUCACAGCCUUUUAUGUUGCCCACAUGAAGAGAGAGAGAGCGCUGUUGAUUUUCCAGAGAAUCAAGACAGCCUCUGAUAUAUAUGUAUAUAUAUAUAUAUAUACACACAUGUGUAUGAAAAGAAAGAAAAGAAAGAGCGAAGGAAAAGGGCAGUUGAUGGGCGUAGUAGAAGGAAUCAUCGGCUCCGACGACCAUGAGAUUCAGAGAGGGGCAACCACCCUUAGAAACUCCCCAUCCCUCCGAGACAGUCACAGGAGCCUCAGUCUUAAACUAAUGAGGUUGAGCCCUAACUUUUACUCAUCCUUCCCCUUUUAUAGUACUCCCUGUCUUCUUCUUUGCUUUUAUUUUAUUUUUUUGACCUUUCUACCCUCACUAAUCCCUGUGUCGAAUUUGGGGGAAAUUUCCCGAUAUUUCCUACCAGUCCAGCCCGCGCACAGGAUACAAAAUCUGUGCAAUUUUUUUUAAAAAAAACAUAAGAUGUUAUUUGGUAAUCUGAUCAUGAUUUGCAGGCAAAGGUUGUGGUUUUCAGCCUGGCUCAAAAAUCGUGGAUUUAGGGUUCGUGAAAUUUAAAUCCAAUGGCACAAAAGCAAAGAGACCCCUAGAACAGAUCCAGAAAACACAGGGAGCAAAAAAAAUAAAGCAAUUUUUUUGGUUUUCCUUUGGUGGUUUUGCGUGGAUUUUCUCGGAAAUCAAACGAGGAUGAAUUUUCCCGGAAAUCGAAUGGGGGAUGGAUUUUCUUGGGAAUCAAACGGGGGUUGCAAAAAAAAAUAAUGUACCUGCGAGGAAAAUAGGGCCUUUUUAGGGAUUCUGGAGGACAACUUCAGAAAAGCGGAUGUUCGAUUUUUAUAUUUAGUAGAGAGAGAAAACAAGGGAAACAAAUCAUGAGAACAAUUUUCCUCUCUCCGUAUAAAUAAUUAUUAAUUAUCCAUCUUUAUUUUGAUUAAAUCACUACCAAAAUUUCGAUUUUUAU
rnacentral:lncRNA from 1 species